rnacentral:tRNA from 1 species
GGGAGGUUAGCUGAGUGGUUUUAGCAUUAACUUUACACGUUUUGUACAGGGUUUCGAUUACUCUACUUCUCA